ACACAGACCAUCAUCAUCACCUUCAUUCAACAUGCUGUCAUUAGAUAAUUGUUUAAUUUUUUUAUUUUUAGUGUCCGUUCUAAGAGUCAGCUGUGAAGAUCUCACUGCAUCAAAGCCAGAAGAGUUCAGUCCAGAAGGCAGCUCUGUUACUCUGUCCUACAGAUACUCCAAAACUAUAGCAGCUAAUGAUUAUUUCUACUGGUAUCGACAAUAUCCAGGAGAACCACCAGAGUUCAUCUUCUCUCAUUUAGGAACUGGAAACAUUAUGUUGAAUCCAGUUUCUGGACUGUCUGCUGAAGUGAGUGAGGAUAAAACCCAGGUCUAUCUGAGCAUCUCCUCUGCUGCAGUGACAUACUCUGCUGUGUUCUACUGUGCUGUGAGGCCCACAGUGACAGGAAACACCAACACUCUGUACAAAAACCUUUGGAGCAAAGACAACACAGUACUGCACUACAUCCACCAGAGGGAGUCUCUCUCUGUUCACCUUCAGCAGGAUGUGAUGAUACAGUCUAGAUUAGAUUCUCUCAGACUCACAGCUGUGAUGAAGAGCUCCAGAAACUCAUUGGACAUCUGAGUCUCC